CCGUGGGAGGGAAGGCACUCUCUGUCAAGCUGCUGUCACCUUACCUGAAGUAAGGAGUCCACGCCUGCAUGUCCGAGGAAAACAGUUUUCUCAAACACAUUAGUUGAAAAACUGAAGACGCUGCCUAAAAUACAAGCUGAGUUAGAGACAGCCCUUGUAAGACUAGAAAAAGAAAUGGAAACUAAGUAACAUGAAUUAACAUAGUCCAGGGUCACAAAGCAACAUGGAACAAGAACCUGGAUCUGAAUUCAGAGGCAGAAUGCUGGAGAUAGGGUCUUGUUCUGUCGCCCAGGCUUGGGUGCAAUGGCAUGAUCACAGCUCACUGCAGCCUCGAACUCCUGGGCUCUAGUGAUUCUCUUGCCUCAGCCUCCCUUGUAGUUGGACUACAGGUACAAAUCACCAUGUCUGGCUCUUGUUCUUUAACACAUGCUUGUAGCUCAAAACUAGUAGAAUUCCCUCUGAUACAUUUGUGAACCUCUGCUCCUACU
rnacentral:lncRNA from 1 species